rnacentral:rRNA from 1 species
AGAAUCAACGCUGGCGGCGUGCCUAACACAUGCAAGUCGAACGCAGGUAUCCCGCAAGGGAUGCCUGAGUGGCGAACGGGUGAGUAACGCGUGGGUGACCUACCUUCGAGUGGGGGAUAACGUCCCGAAAGGGACGCUAAUACCGCAUGACAUCCUGCCUUUGAACAGGCGGAGAUCAAAGCCGGGGAUCGUAAGACCUGGCGCUUGUUGAGGGGCCCGCGUCCGAUUAGCUAGUUGGUGGGUAAUGGCUCACCAAGGCGACGAU